rfam:Oryza nivara chromosome 4, whole genome shotgun sequence.
AAUAAGUGCAGAUUUGCACUAUUCAUGUGCAACGUUUGACCGUUCGUCUUAUUUGAAAAUUUUUUGUGAUUAGUAUUUUUAUUGUUAUUAGAUGAUAAAACAUGAAUAGUACUUUAUGGAUGACUAUUUUUAUUUUAGUUUUUUUAUAAAUUUUUCAAAUAAGAUGAACGGUCAAACGUUGAACACGGAUCCCUACAACUACACUUAUU